rnacentral:rRNA from 1 species
AUGGCCCCCUUCGAAGUGUUAUAUGGACGAAAGUGCCGAACCCCUCUGAACUGGUCAGAAACUGGGGAACGUCCACUCUUUGGCCCGGAUAUUAUCCAAGAUGCCGAAGAACAAGUCCGCAUUAUUCGCGAGAAUCUCAAGACUGCUCAGUCACGUCAGAAGAGUCAGUAUGACCGUCAUCAUAAAGACAUGGUCUAUCAACUUGGCGAAAAGGCCUAUCUUCGCGUUACACCAAUGAAGGGUGCUCACCGCUUCGGGAUCAAAGGGAAGCUAGCUCCCCGCUAUAUUGGCCCAUUCACUAUUCUCGAGAGGCGUGGAAAAGUGGCAUAUCAACUGGAGCUUCCGUCGAACCUUUCUCAGGUUCACGAUGUGUUCCAUGUGUCACAACUCCGCCGUUGCUUCAAGGACCCAAUCCGAGCUGUGGAUCAUGAAGUGCUCGAAUUGCAACAGGACCUCUCCUAUAAAGAGCAUCCGGUCCGCAUUCUCGACCAAGCUGAACGCCGCACACGCCAGAAGGCGAUCAAGUUCCUCAAGGUCCAGUGGUCGAAUCACUCUGAAGACGAAGCCACCUGGGAACGCGAGGAUCGUCUGCGUGAUGAAUACCCCGCACUGUUUCCUUCUACCUCCUAA